CUACGGGGGGCUCCAGUGGGGAAUAUUGCACAAUGGGCGUAAGCCUGAUGCAGCCAUGCCGCGUGUUUGAAGAAGGCCUUCGGGUUGUAAAGUACUUUCAGCGGGGAGGAAGGGAGUAAAGUUAAUACCUUUGCUCAUUGACGUUACCCGCAGAAGAAGCACCGGCUAACUCCGUGCCAGCAGCCGCGGUAAUACGGAGGGUGCAAGCGUUAAUCGGAAUUACUGGGCGUAAAGCGCACGCAGGCGGUUUGUUAAGUCAGAUGUGAAAUCCCCGGGCUCAACCUGGGAACUGCAUCUGAUACUGGCAAGCUCGAGUCUCGUAGAGGGGGGUAGAAUUCCAGGUGUAGCGGUGAAAUGCGUAGAGAUCCGGAGGAAUACCGGUGGCGAAGGCGGCCCCCUGGACGAAGACUGACGCUCAGGUGCGAAAGCGUGGGGAGCAAACAGGAUUAGAUACCCCGGUAGUC
rnacentral:rRNA from 1 species